GGGUUGUGAGGUUAAGCGACUAAGCGUACACGGUGGAUGCCCUGGCAGUCAGAGGCGAUGAAGGACGUGCUAAUCUGCGAUAAGCGUCGGUAAGGUGAUAUGAACCGUUAUAACCGGCGAUUUCCGAAUGGGGAAACCCAGUGUGUUUCGACACACUAUCAUUAACUGAAUCCAUAGGUUAAUGAGGCGAACCGGGGGAACUGAAACAUCUAAGUACCCCGAGGAAAAGAAAUCAACCGAGAUUCCCCCAGUAGCGGCGAGCGAACGGGGAGCAGCCCAGAGCCUGAAUCAGUGUGUGUGUUAGUGGAAGCGUCUGGAAAGGCGCGCGAUACAGGGUGACAGCCCCGUACACAAAAAUGCACAUGCUGUGAGCUCGAUGAGUAGGGCGGGACACGUGGUAUCCUGUCUGAAUAUGGGGGGACCAUCCUCCAAGGCUAAAUACUCCUGACUGACCGAUAGUGAACCAGUACCGUGAGGGAAAGGCGAAAAGAACCCCGGCGAGGGGAGUGAAAAAGAACCUGAAACCGUGUACGUACAAGCAGUGGGAGCACAGAGCAAUCUGUGUGACUGCGUACCUUUUGUAUAAUGGGUCAGCGACUUAUAUUCUGUAGCAAGGUUAACCGAAUAGGGGAGCCGAAGGGAAACCGAGUCUUAACUGGGCGUUAAGUUGCAGGGUAUAGACCCGAAACCCGGUGAUCUAGCCAUGGGCAGGUUGAAGGUUGGGUAACACUAACUGGAGGACCGAACCGACUAAUGUUGAAAAAUUAGCGGAUGACUUGUGGCUGGGGGUGAAAGGCCAAUCAAACCGGGAGAUAGCUGGUUCUCCCCGAAAGCUAUUUAGGUAGCGCCUCGUGAAUUCAUCUCCGGGGGUAGAGCACUGUUUCGGCAAGGGGGUCAUCCCGACUUACCAACCCGAUGCAAACUGCGAAUACCGGAGAAUGUUAUCACGGGAGACACACGGCGGGUGCUAACGUCCGUCGUGAAGAGGGAAACAACCCAGACCGCCAGCUAAGGUCCCAAAGUCAUGGUUAAGUGGGAAACGAUGUGGGAAGGCCCAGACAGCCAGGAUGUUGGCUUAGAAGCAGCCAUCAUUUAAAGAAAGCGUAAUAGCUCACUGGUCGAGUCGGCCUGCGCGGAAGAUGUAACGGGGCUAAACCAUGCACCGAAGCUGCGGCAGCGACGCUUAUGCGUUGUUGGGUAGGGGAGCGUUCUGUAAGCCUGUGAAGGUGUACUGUGAGGUAUGCUGGAGGUAUCAGAAGUGCGAAUGCUGACAUAAGUAACGAUAAAGCGGGUGAAAAGCCCGCUCGCCGGAAGACCAAGGGUUCCUGUCCAACGUUAAUCGGGGCAGGGUGAGUCGACCCCUAAGGCGAGGCCGAAAGGCGUAGUCGAUGGGAAACAGGUUAAUAUUCCUGUACUUGGUGUUACUGCGAAGGGGGGACGGAGAAGGCUAUGUUAGCCGGGCGACGGUUGUCCCGGUUUAAGCGUGUAGGCUGGUUUUCCAGGCAAAUCCGGAAAAUCAAGGCUGAGGCGUGAUGACGAGGCACUACGGUGCUGAAGCAACAAAUGCCCUGCUUCCAGGAAAAGCCUCUAAGCAUCAGGUAACAUCAAAUCGUACCCCAAACCGACACAGGUGGUCAGGUAGAGAAUACCAAGGCGCUUGAGAGAACUCGGGUGAAGGAACUAGGCAAAAUGGUGCCGUAACUUCGGGAGAAGGCACGCUGAUAUGUAGGUGAAGUCCCUCGCGGAUGGAGCUGAAAUCAGUCGAAGAUACCAGCUGGCUGCAACUGUUUAUUAAAAACACAGCACUGUGCAAACACGAAAGUGGACGUAUACGGUGUGACGCCUGCCCGGUGCCGGAAGGUUAAUUGAUGGGGUCAGCGCAAGCGAAGCUCUUGAUCGAAGCCCCGGUAAACGGCGGCCGUAACUAUAACGGUCCUAAGGUAGCGAAAUUCCUUGUCGGGUAAGUUCCGACCUGCACGAAUGGCGUAAUGAUGGCCAGGCUGUCUCCACCCGAGACUCAGUGAAAUUGAACUCGCUGUGAAGAUGCAGUGUACCCGCGGCAAGACGGAAAGACCCCGUGAACCUUUACUAUAGCUUGACACUGAACAUUGAGCCUUGAUGUGUAGGAUAGGUGGGAGGCUUUGAAGUGUGGACGCCAGUCUGCAUGGAGCCGACCUUGAAAUACCACCCUUUAAUGUUUGAUGUUCUAACGUGGACCCGUGAUCCGGGUUGCGGACAGUGUCUGGUGGGUAGUUUGACUGGGGCGGUCUCCUCCUAAAGAGUAACGGAGGAGCACGAAGGUUGGCUAAUCCUGGUCGGACAUCAGGAGGUUAGUGCAAUGGCAUAAGCCAGCUUGACUGCGAGCGUGACGGCGCGAGCAGGUGCGAAAGCAGGUCAUAGUGAUCCGGUGGUUCUGAAUGGAAGGGCCAUCGCUCAACGGAUAAAAGGUACUCCGGGGAUAACAGGCUGAUACCGCCCAAGAGUUCAUAUCGACGGCGGUGUUUGGCACCUCGAUGUCGGCUCAUCACAUCCUGGGGCUGAAGUAGGUCCCAAGGGUAUGGCUGUUCGCCAUUUAAAGUGGUACGCGAGCUGGGUUUAGAACGUCGUGAGACAGUUCGGUCCCUAUCUGCCGUGGGCGCUGGAGAAUUGAGGGGGGCUGCUCCUAGUACGAGAGGACCGGAGUGGACGCAUCACUGGUGUUCGGGUUGUCAUGCCAAUGGCACUGCCCGGUAGCUAAAUGCGGAAGAGAUAAGUGCUGAAAGCAUCUAAGCACGAAACUUGCCCCGAGAUGAGUUCUCCCUGACUCCUUGAGAGUCCUGAAGGAACGUUGAAGACGACGACGUUGAUAGGCCGGGUGUGUAAGCGCAGCGAUGCGUUGAGCUAACCGGUACUAAUGAACCGUGAGGCUUAACCUUACAACGCCGAAG
rnacentral:rRNA from 1 species